UACGAAGGGGGCUAGCGUUGUUCGGAUUUACUGGGCGUAAAGCGCACGUAGGCGGAUAUUUAAGUCAGGGGUGAAAUCCUGGAGCUCAACUCCAGAACUGCCUUUGAUACUGGGUAUCUAGAGUCCGGAAGAGGUGAGUGGAACUCCUAGUGUAGAGGUGGAAUUCGUAGAUAUUAGGAAGAACACCAGUGGCGAAGGCGGCUCACUGGUCCGGUACUGACGCUGAGGUGCGAAAGCGUGGGGAGCAAACAGG
rnacentral:rRNA from 1 species